GUGGGCUCCCACUCAUUAUAAUUUCGUUGUCGAAUAUCAGCCGAAGCAUAUUUUGUCAAUCAAAUGGCUUUUCAACAUCGACCCGAGAGAAUGUUCUUGCUUCACAUGGAAAUAGCAAGGCUAUCUUAUUUUCUUAAUAAUUAAUAUUGGAGGUCUAAUUUUUGUACUCUUCCGUCUUAGCUCACCCUCACUACCAAAUAAAAUAAAAUAAAAUAAAAAUAACAAAAAAUAAUGUUUUGCAUCCGGUUUUUUCUUUUGAAAGAAAAAAAAUUAUUUAAAAAAAAUAAUGUUAAAAUUUCUAUUUAUGUCGCUUCUAUAGUAAUGACAUUAAUUUUAAAAUAUUUAUGGUUAUAAAUGUAAAAAGUUGCUAAAUUAGCGUUGCUCCUAUACUAACAAUGCUAAAUUAUUAAAUUUUUUUGCUGUUUGAUAAAAACUGUCGUAAAGUAAAAAUAUUUAAUGUCGUUUCAACAGCAACAACGUCCAAUCUCUUCAUUUCUACAGUACAAAUGACUUCAAAUUUUUACUUUGCUUGAUUCUUCUCAUCGUUGCUUGUACUGUUAAACGACAUAAAUUCAAAUUUUUAUCAAGUCUCUCUUCCUCGAAAUUUCUGCUACCAAUUCUCACGCGUAAAUUUAAUUUAUUGUGACUUAUCAUUUGAUGAUUUUUCUGUGUAACGUAAUGGGUCUAGUUUUGGCUUUUGAAUGGUGUUUGGCUGAUGAUAAACACAAAGUAGGAAAAUAGGAGUAUUAUUAUUUUUAAUUAUUUUUAUCUAGAUUAGCAUCGUUUAUUUGGGGAAAAAAAAAAAAAAGACGUAAAAUAUUUAAUUUCUGUUCAAACGACGUAAUCUAUUGUCGUCAUUACUGUGCAAACAACAUAAAAUGGUUUACAUUGUUUGCACAGUAACAACAACAAUGAAAGUCAAUUAUUGUUACAAACGACGUUAAUAAUUUUUCUCGACCGGAGUUCUGCUACAGCUAACAAAAGAAGUCAAAAAAUUGACAUCCUUUUUUUUUUUUUGUUUCCCCAACUGUUAACAUUGUUUAAACGAAACACCGAGUUUUUUGUAGUGUACAUAUAUAAUAUUUAUUACGUAUUAUAUUUUCUUAUAUGUCACCUCUUUCAAAUAUGAUUUAAAAAUCAAAGGUUUCAACCUCAAAAUUGACACAAUUCCAUAUGUGGCAAAAGGUUUGAUUGUUUUUCUAGAGAAAAAAGAAUACUUGAACGGUUUGGAAUACUAUUUGUAAUAAUUUUAUGAGUAAAGGUAGAGAAAUGAUAUUUAGUAAAUUACUGUACGAUUAUCAUACAACUGAGAUGAUGUAACAGUGAAAAUUAGUCAUUCAUUUUUAUUUUUACAAAGCUUUUGCUGAUCCAAAAUGCUGAUUUUUACUGUCACGUCAUCUCAAUUGUAUGUCAAUCGUAUACCAGUCUACUACAUAGUAUUAUUUUUAAAUUAAUUUAUGAAAUAUUCAAAGUUUGUGUGUGUAUAUGUCCAUGUAUGGGAGGUUUUGGUGUCGGAUAUACAUGGUUCAAUUAAUUUCAACCCUAAGUAAAGAUAUGAUAAUAUGUUUCAUAUCAUGUCCUCUCUGAGUGUCCCAUCACUGCUUUACAUGUUUAUGCAAGAAUAUUUAGCUAAAAUAAUCUCAAAUUCUUCAACAAAAGCAACCCCUUUGUUUUAAAUUUCACAUGGUGGAAGCAUAGAAGGGUUAAGCACAAUAUUGUUCCCUCCAUGUGCAGGAUAGGACAAAUGGAUUACUUUCACCUUCCACCUUAUACCAUGGAUAAGAAAGCAUAAGCACCCUAAAAAUGUGUAUAAGGUGACCUUACUAUCAAUCAUGUCUUUUGAGUUCCUUCGACCCGAGUUGAGCUCCUGUGCUAUUAGAUUAAAUCACAUUGGAAGCAUUUGUGCCUGAGUCUAUUAGAAUAUGGGAAUUUUCCAUAUUCUAUUUGACUUGUUUUUCUUAUUGAACUUUCCACUCUUUAUGUUUGAUUGUAAUCAAAUCAUUUAGAUUAAUUAUCUUAUUUGUAUUAUCUUCACCUAUCGUCUUUUUUUUUUUUUUUAUUUAAUUAUAUAUAUAAAUAAGGUUCAUUUGUAUUGUAAAUAUUAUCAAUGAAAUAAGAGCAAAUAUGCUUGUAGGGCAAUUUACAAUGUUUGAUAUACAUGCGUCUAACACAAAAUUACCCCAAAAUUUUAGUCUCCUUUUUCCUAUUGCUUCCACUAUUUUUCAUUAAUAUUUUAUUUUUAAAUCUUCACACGGUAUCAAAUAACAUUACUCUUUGUUUUUGUAUUUCCUAUAUAUAUACUUUGUAAUAUUAGACAAGAUUUCAAGUCAAUAUUCUAACCCCAACCCCUAAAGGCUAAGUUUGUUAACCUUAAAGUCUCAUGGGCGCCAAGGUAACAUAUUAUAAUAAGUCUUAUAAUUAUAAGACAUAGAGCACUUAUGAACGAACCACUACGUACAAUGCAUGUAAUGAAAAAAAAUAUAUAUAAUUUUUUAAAGCAUAAGGUCAGACAAUAUUAAACUUAAAUAGUCAAGUGGGGUUUUUCAUCUAUAUAUGCCCUAUAUAUAUAUGGAACUUAUUUAAGAUCAAACUUUUGCCCUAUGGAAAAUAAAUUCAGUCAAAUCCAAGAGAGAAUUUACCUCAAAUAUCCCCUCUCCCUUUCUCUAGACAUGAUGAUAUAUAUGAUCGAUUCAUUGAUGAUCUUCUCCAACAAAAAAACAGUAGUGCUCAAAAGGCAAUGGAAUAUUGAGGCAGCGAAGCACCAAACAAGGUGAGAAAAAACAAGGAGUGGGAUGUCGUAUUACAAUGCAUGAUAGAAGCAAGAUAUGAAAUGUGUGGAGGGUGAGUCAGUAAUCAGUACAAGUAGUGACUGAAAAAGAGAAGAAAAGG
rnacentral:precursor_RNA from 1 species